rnacentral:rRNA from 1 species
GAGGUUAAGCGACUAAGCGUACACGGUGGAUGCCCUGGCAGUCAGAGGCGAUGAAGGACGUGCUAAUCUGCGAAAAGCGUCGGUAAGGUGAUAUGAACCGUUAUAACCGGCGAUGUCCGAAUGGGGAAACCCAGUGCAAUUCGUUGCACUAUCGUUAACUGAAUACAUAGGUUAACGAGGCGAACCGGGGGAACUGAAACAUCUAAGUACCCCGAGGAAAGAAAUCAACCGAGAUUCCCCCCGGCGAGCGAACGGGGAGCAGCCCAGAGUCUGAAUCAGCUGUGUGUUAGUGGAACGGUCUGGAAAGUCCGACGGUACAGGGUGAUAGUCCCGUACACCAAAAUGCACAGGCUGUGAACUCGAAGAGUAGGGCGGGACACGUGGUAUCCUGUCUGAAUAUGGGGGGACCAUCCUCCAAGGCUAAAUACUCCUGACUGACCGAUAGUGAACCAGUACCGUGAGGGAAAGGCGAAAAGAACCCCGGCGAGGGGAGUGAAAAAGAACCUGAAACCGUGUACGUACAAGCAGUGGGAGCACCUUCGGGUGUGACUGCGUACCUUUUGUAUAAUGGGUCAGCGACUUAUAUUCUGUAGCAAGGUUAACCGUAUAGGGGAGCCGCAGGGAAACCGAGUCUUAACUGGGCGUUAAGUUGCAGGGUAUAGACCCGAAACCCGGUGAUCUAGCCAUGGGCAGGUUGAAGGUUGGGUAACACUAACUGGAGGACCGAACCGACUAAUGUUGAAAAAUUAGCGGAUGACUUGUGGCUGGGGGUGAAAGGCCAAUCAAACCGGGAGAUAGCUGGUUCUCCCCGAAAGCUAUUUAGGUAGCGCCUCGUGAAUUCAUCUUCGGGGGUAGAGCACUGUUUCGGCUAGGGGGUCAUCCCGACUUACCAACCCGAUGCAAACUACGAAUACCGAAGAAUGUUAUCACGGGAGACACACGGCGGGUGCUAACGUCCGUCGUGAAGAGGGAAACAACCCAGACCGCCAGCUAAGGUCCCAAAGUCAUGGUUAAGUGGGAAACGAUGUGGGAAGGCACAGACAGCCAGGAUGUUGGCUUAGAAGCAGCCAUCAUUUAAAGAAAGCGUAAUAGCUCACUGGUCGAGUCGGCCUGCGCGGAAGAUGUAACGGGGCUAAACCAUGCACCGAAGCUGCGGCAGCGACACUAUGUGUUGUUGGGUAGGGGAGCGUUCUGUAAGCCUGCGAAGGUGACCUGUGAGGGUUGCUGGAGGUAUCAGAAGUGCGAAUGCUGACAUAAGUAACGAUAAAGCGGGUGAAAAGCCCGCUCGCCGGAAGACCAAGGGUUCCUGUCCAACGUUAAUCGGGGCAGGGUGAGUCGACCCCUAAGGCGAGGCCGAAAGGCGUAGUCGAUGGGAAACAGGUUAAUAUUCCUGUACUUGGUGUUACUGCGAAGGGGGGACGGAGAAGGCUAUGUUAGCCGGGCGACGGUUGUCCCGGUUUAAGCAUGUAGGCUGGUUAUCCAGGCAAAUCCGGAUAAUCAAGGCUGAGGUGUGAUGACGAGGCACUACGGUGCUGAAGUAACAAAUGCCCUGCUUCCAGGAAAAGCCUCUAAGCAUCAGGUAACAUCAAAUCGUACCCCAAACCGACACAGGUGGUCAGGUAGAGAAUACCAAGGCGCUUGAGAGAACUCGGGUGAAGGAACUAGGCAAAAUGGUGCCGUAACUUCGGGAGAAGGCACGCUGGUGUGUAGGUGAAGUCCCUGCGGAUGGAGCUGAGACCAGUCGAAGAUACCAGCUGGCUGCAACUGUUUAUUAAAAACACAGCACUGUGCAAACACGAAAGUGGACGUAUACGGUGUGACGCCUGCCCGGUGCCGGAAGGUUAAUUGAUGGGGUUAUCCGUAAGGAGAAGCUCUUGAUCGAAGCCCCGGUAAACGGCGGCCGUAACUAUAACGGUCCUAAGGUAGCGAAAUUCCUUGUCGGGUAAGUUCCGACCUGCACGAAUGGCGUAAUGAUGGCCAGGCUGUCUCCACCCGAGACUCAGUGAAAUUGAACUCGCUGUGAAGAUGCAGUGUACCCGCGGCAAGACGGAAAGACCCCGUGAACCUUUACUAUAGCUUGACACUGAACAUUGAGCCUUGAUGUGUAGGAUAGGUGGGAGGCUUUGAAGCGUGGACGCCAGUCUGCGUGGAGCCAACCUUGAAAUACCACCCUUUAAUGUUUGAUGUUCUAACGUUGGCCCCUUACCGGGGUUGCGGACAGUGUCUGGUGGGUAGUUUGACUGGGGCGGUCUCCUCCCAAAGCGUAACGGAGGAGCACGAAGGUUAGCUAAUCCUGGUCGGACAUCAGGAGGUUAGUGCAAUGGCAUAAGCUAGCUUGACUGCGAGCGUGACGGCGCGAGCAGGUGCGAAAGCAGGUCAUAGUGAUCCGGUGGUUCUGAAUGGAAGGGCCAUCGCUCAACGGAUAAAAGGUACUCCGGGGAUAACAGGCUGAUACCGCCCAAGAGUUCAUAUCGACGGCGGUGUUUGGCACCUCGAUGUCGGCUCAUCACAUCCUGGGGCUGAAGUAGGUCCCAAGGGUAUGGCUGUUCGCCAUUUAAAGUGGUACGCGAGCUGGGUUUAGAACGUCGUGAGACAGUUCGGUCCCUAUCUGCCGUGGGCGCUGGAGAAUUGAGGGGGGCUGCUCCUAGUACGAGAGGACCGGAGUGGACGCAUCACUGGUGUUCGGGUUGUCAUGCCAAUGGCACUGCCCGGUAGCUAAAUGCGGAAGAGAUAAGUGCUGAAAGCAUCUAAGCACGAAACUUGCCCCGAGAUGAGUUCUCCCUGAGACUUUAAGUCUCCUGAAGGAACGUUGAAGACGACGACGUUGAUAGGCCGGGUGUGUAAGCGCAGCGAUGCGUUGAGCUAACCGGUACUAAUGAACCGUGAGGCUUAACCUUACAACGCCGAAG